AACGAACGCUGGCGGCAGGCUUAACACAUGCAAGUCGAACGCAUCCUUCGGGGUGAGUGGCAGACGGGUGAGUAACGCGUGGGAACGUGCCCUUCAGUUCGGGAUAACCCAGGGAAACUUGGGCUAAUACCGGAUACGUGCGAGAGCAGAAAGAUUUAUCGCUGAAGGAUCGGCCCGCGUCUGAUUAGCUAGUUGGUGGGGUAAUGGCCCACCAAGGCGACGAUCAGUAGCUGGUCUGAGAGGAUGAUCAGCCACAUUGGGACUGAGACACGGCCCAAACUCCUACGGGAGGCAGCAGUGGGGAAUAUUGGACAAUGGGCGCAAGCCUGAUCCAGCGAUGCCGCGUGAGUGAUGAAGGCCUUAGGGUUGUAAAGCUCUUUCGUCCGGGACGAUAAUGACGGUACCGGAAGAAGAAGCCCCGGCUAACUUCGUGCCAGCCGCCGCAGUAA
rnacentral:rRNA from 1 species